UAGGGAAUCUUCCACAAUGGACGCAAGUCUGAUGGAGCAACGCCGCGUGAGUGAAGAAGGUUUUCGGACCGUAAAGCUCUGUUGUUGGUGAAGAAGGAUAGAGGUAGUAACUGGCCUUUAUUUGACGGUAAUCAACCAGAAAGUCACGGCUAACUACGUGCCAGCAGCCGCGGUAAUACGUAGGUGGCAAGCGUUGUCCGGAUUUAUUGGGCGUAAAGCGAGCGCAGGCGGAAGAAUAAGUCUGAUGUGAAAGCCCUCGGCUUAACCGAGGAAUUGCAUCGGAAACUGUUUUCUUGAGCGCAGAAGAGGAGAGUAGAACUCCAUGUGUAGCGGUGGAAUGCGUAGAUAUGUGGAAGAAUACCAGUGGCGAAGGCGGCUCUCUGGUCUGCAACUGACGCUGAGGCUCGAAAGCAUGGGUAGCGAACAGGAUUAGAUACCCUUGGUAGUCCAUGCCGUAAACGAUGAGUGCUAAGUGUUGGGAGGCUUCCGCCUCUCAGUGCUGCAGCUAACGCAUUAAGCACUCCGCCUGGGGGAGUACGACCGCAAGGUUGAAAC
rnacentral:rRNA from 1 species